rnacentral:rRNA from 1 species
GACGAACGCUGGCGGCGUGCCUAAUACAUGCAAGUAGAACGCUGAAGGAGGAGCUUGCUUCUCUGGAUGAGUUGCGAACGGGUGAGUAACGCGUAGGUAACCUGCCUGGUAGUGGGGGAUAACUAUUGGAAACGAUAGCUAAUACCGCAUAAUAGCAGUUGUUGCAUGAUAACUGUUUGAAAGGUGCAAUUGCACCGCUACCAGAUGGACCUGCGUUGUAUUAGCUAGUUGGUGGGGUAACGGCUCACCAAGGCGACGAUACAUAGCCGACCUGAGAGGGUGAUCGGCCACACUGGGACUGAGACACGGCCCAGACUCCUACGGGAGGCAGCAGUAGGGAAUCUUCGGCAAUGGACGGAAGUCUGACCGAGCAACGCCGCGUGAGUGUAGAAGGUUUUCGGAUCGUAAAGCUCUGUUGUAAGAGAAGAACGAGUGUGAGAGUGGAAAGUUCACACUGUGACGGUAUCUUACCAGAAAGGGACGGCUAACUACGUG